AUCAAUACAAGUAUUCCGUAGUCAACGGGACGCACAGGUAUCCCGGACUAAAUCAAACAACAUCACCUGGAUCGAAGUGCAGUGUCCGAUACAGCGUAACAGUUCAGACUGCGGAUACUUUGUAUUGAGGUUUAUGAAAGAAAUCAUUCAGGCGAAUCAAUUAGAGAUUCCUCCCACGUACCUUGACGAAUUCCGUGCUGCUGGGUACUCGAAGCUAAAGUUAGAAGAAAUCAAAGAGGAAUUGUGUCAAUUUUAUAUUAAGCAAUUUUUCAUGCAGAUUUGAACUAUAAUAUUGUUGAUUUUGUAAUGAUGUAUAUAUAUAAUUUUGUAAUGAUGUAUAUAUAUAAUUUUGGAUAUU